rnacentral:lncRNA from 1 species
AGAUUCCUUUCCCUUACAGGUUAUAUACAAAAUAUUGAGUAUAUAAGGAUAUAAACAAGAGUACAAAAAUCCAAUCAUUAAAGGGAUAAUAAUGAAACUUCACCAGAGAAUCAGGUGAAGUAGAAUAGGCAAAGUAGCAAUCAUGAACCAAAUAAUCUGCUAUGCCAAUUACAAGAAAGUCAAUUCGAAGAAAAUAGUUUGGGUUGGAAGUGUGCUUAUUUAUUUUCUUUUUGAUUGGGGGGGGGGUUAAGAUGGAGCUGAGUAUAUUAGAAUGGCCCAAGCAAUGAGCAAGGAAGUCACAACAUCCUUGAAUUCCUAGUCACUACGAAAGCAGCUCCUUUGCCCCCUUCCUGUUUGCCUAUUUCUGUCCCACCCUAACCUUGAAAGAACCUAGUUAACCUAUUGAAUACAUUCUUAGAUAAAAAGAAGUAAGAAUGAAGUAGUUGAGGAAUGACUAGAUCUCUGUCCUCAGUAGCCCCCUUAGCAAUCCUAUAACAGACAUCUUAAGAGUUAGAGAGCCUGUAGGUAAGGGAGAUGAUGCAGAACCCAACCUCCUGCCUCAGAGACUCACUGAGACUCUUCCCCUCUUUUCCCCUUAAAACUGUCCUUUAAAAACUGUCAUGGCCGAGUGGGAUCUUUGGAGUUGGUCUCUGGACAUGAGUCCAUCUUCUCAGAUUAUCGACUUUUAUGAUUAAAGCACUUUUCCUUUCUACUGACACUUGUCUCUCAAAUUACUGGCUUUUGAGCAAUGCUGAACUUGAGUUCAGUAACAACCGAGGCUUGCCCCUAAGGACUGCUACCUGUGAACAUUAGUUUUCUAUGUCAACUUGACUGGGCCUCAGGGUGCCCAUAUACUUGGUCAAACAUUAUUCUGAGUGUGUCUGUGAAGGUGUCUUUCUGGAUGAGAUUCACAUUUGUAUUGGAGACUGAGUAACGCAGACUUCCCUCCCUGGUGUCAGUGGGCUGCACCCAAUCAGUUGAAAGCCUGAAUAAAACCAAAUAGAACAAAACAAAAUAAAGUGACACAAACAAACAAAAAGACUAAGUGGCAAAAAAUCCUGCCUGAUUUUUUGAGCUAGAACAUUGUUUCUUUUAUAUAUAAAUCUUAGAGUAUAGCUGAUUUACAGUGUUGUCAUUUUCUGCUGUACAGCAAAGCAACCCAGUCUUACACAUGUACCUAUACAUUUUUUUUUUGUAUCCUAACUUCCAUCAUGUUCUAUCCCAAGAGAUUGGAUAUAGUUCCCUUUGCUAUACAGUAGGACCUUACUGCUUAUCCAUUGAAACUUCCUUCACUGUUGGUGGGAAUGUAUACUAGUACAACCACUAUGGAAAACAGCAUGAAGGUUCCUCAGCAUACUAAAUAUAAAUCGACUAUACGAUCCAGCAAUCCCACUCUUGCAUAUAGCUGAACAAAACUAUAAUUUAAAAAGAUACAUGCACCUCUAUGUUCACUGAAGCAAUAUUAACAAUAGCCAAGACAUGGAGACAACCUAAAUGUCCACUGAUGGAUGAAUGUAUUAAGAGGAUGUGAGAUAUAUACAUUGGAAUACUACUCAGCCAUAAAAAGAAAAAUAAUGGCAUUUGCAGCAACAUGAAUAUCUUGACACUUAGUCUCCAUAAUCAUGUGAGUUAAUUCAUUAUAAUCAAUCAAUCAAUAAAUUAAUCAAUUUCUAUGUGUAUGCCUGUCUGCCUGUCUGUCUGUCUUUGUCUGCCUAGCUAUACGGUUUUGGUUUUUACCCAGGGAAUUUUUACUAAUGCAGUACCCAAACCAGAUGGAGGCCCAGGUGUUAAGGGGCCUCAAUCUGCACCUGGCAGCUCCAGCUUCUGUGCAUUUAUUAACAGCUAUGAUGAUGGUAAUGGAAUUAGGGAGGUUCUUCCAAAUAUCUUCAAUUUAUCUGUCCAUAAAUGUGUAGAGUAUUUAGCUUGUCAAAACUGUCAGACAGCAUUCAAUUUCAGUAUCUGUGUUAAUCAAUCAUUGCUAAAUAUGAGCUGCACAAAAUGAUUUAAAAUUCCUUCUGGUAUUAUAAGUUUAGAGCCCAUGGUAGCUACAUUGCUUUCAGUUGCAGAAUCUGAAAGGGAGAAAGAAUGAGAUCCUGCUGUGUAGCACUGGGAACUAUAACUAGUCACUUAUGAUGGAGCAUGAUAAUGUGAGAAAAAAAAAUCUAUACAUGUAUAUGUAACUGGGUCACCACUCUGUACAAUAGAAAAUUGACAGAACAUUGUAAACAAGCUAUAAUGAAAAAAAAAAUCAUUAUAUAAAAAGCAAAAAAAAAAAAAAAAGAGAGAAUGCUUUCAACAGCAUUCCAUAGAGAUAAUUGCCUAGUUUCACUGCUCCAUGGAUGGUGCCUUAUUAACUCACAUGUUAGCACCUCACACUGUAGAAUAUCUGUUUCAUAGAAAGUUCUAUGUUAGCUAGGUAGCAAAACUGAGUGACUGAAAUAUUAUUUAAGAAAUAGAUGAAAGAAAGAAAGAUAAUUUUUAAGUGUAAUGAGUCAAGCUGAAGAAAAUUAGUAAAAAAAUUCUAGUUAAAAAAUAAUAUAUAUGACAAUAAAUUUGCAAAUAAUAUGUCAUAGUCUAGAAUUCUUCAUAGUCUAGAAUCUCACAGAUCAGUAAAGACGUCCAGAAGAAAUAGGUUAUAUGCAAUAUAUAAAGUAAAAAUUCCAAUUUCAACUCCAAUUUGAAUUUUUUUCACCCCCAAAUUCAACUCCAAUUUGAUUUUUUUCACCCCCAAAUUCCUGAUCCAUUUACAGAGAAUUUCACUCUCACGUUCUGGAGUCACAUGCUGUACCAUGACUUACUGAUAGCCAUAAAACAUGUACCAUAAAAAGUUUUUUUCAGGGAAGAACUCAAUCCUCAGUGAAUGACAGAGUUCAGUUCAUGAAGGACAUGGAUUUACAUAGCUUAAUCUAGUUCAGCCAAAAGAAGAUAAAGUAUUUUGGGACUUGAGAUAUUAAUAGAAACAAAUCAGUCACCAAAACCUGACAAUUUAAAUUAGUGUAAACUUAGAAAUUUUACAAAUUAAAAGGACUUUCUCAUUUCACAAGGGCAAUAUAUUUUAUUUAACACUGAUGUGUUUUUCAUUGUCAUUUGUGCUGUUUCAGGGAUGGGAACAUGAUAUACAACAAAGUUCAAAAUUCCCAGUGGAUCGUAUAAAGGGAAAAGAUACAAACAGGAAAAAAGACAGGUGUAUGCAUAUAUUAAAUAUAUUUUAUAGGAAAUGACAAAGAAUCUGUCAUUCCAAUACAGUAUGAUAAACUAAAUAAAACAGAAACAUAAAAAACAUAGACACUUAUUCAAUUGAGUCUGUGUAGCUUAUUUAGACUAUUUCUUUAUCAUUUGUUGUUAUAGUAUUGCUGGCUGUGCUAGUGUUUUAAUCGGUAAGAUUCUUGUUUUUCUAUAGUGAUGCCAAUGAGAAAAUAUGAAGAAACUGGAGAUAAUUAAAAGCUCACCUAAGAAAUUAUAUCUGAGUUGUGUGAACAAAUACAAACAGUGAUACUAGAAUAAGGGGGAAUAAAGGAAACAUGAAACUGCAUGUUAAUAAUUAGGUAAUAUGGGCAUAUGUAUUUAUAUAUGAAUUGUAGUGCUGAAAUAAUUUACAGAAUAAAAUGUCAGCAUUACUUAGAAUAAAAUGUCAGCAUUACUUAGAAUUUCAUGACAACAGAUUCCAUAAGAUAGGCCACAAGUCAUCAAUUUUUCAAUAAACUUAUUGGAUACCUAGAAUGUGCCAGACAUUAUGUAUGGGGGAUACAGAGAUGAAUACAAUACAAUUUUAAUCCGCAACUAGGAGACAGAAAAAUAAACCAACAAUUACAACCAGUACUCAAAGUGCCUGGAAGAAGGAGUCCAUGGAAAAAGAGAAUUUCUGAUCUAGAAAGCAAAGUGAAGAGUUUGAGCAAAGGGAAGAGAACAGAGAAACAAUCCAGGGAAAAUUAAGUGUAGAGCUGAGUUAAGUAUUGAAAGAAUAGGGCCAGGCAAGUGAGAAAUGAGGUUAGGAGCUAGAUCAUGAACAGCUCUGUAUGUCAUGUUUUAGAAGUGAACAUAGAUGCAUUAAAAAUGUUAGGUAGUGACAUAAUGAAAUACUAAUUCUAGAAUAAUCAUUUAGAAACAUCAAGCACAGAUUUAGAGAUUUAUAUAGUUCAGAGAUGGUAAUAAGACAUUGAACUAAAUUGGCAAUAGUAAGGAGAGAGAGAAGAUAAUAGAUUUGGGGUAGAAUCUGUAGGAUUUUAUGCUUAAUAAGAUAUGAUUAGUUAAGAAUUGGGAAGAUUCCAAAGUAUUACCAUCAUUACAGCAUUACCAUCCUUUUGAAUAUGGAAUAUAGAAAAAAAUAGAGAGUUUUGAUGUAUAUCAAUUAGGGAUUUAAAAUUACAAUCGAGAAGACUUAUUCCAGUUACCUUAAGCCAAAUAAUCUGUAAGAGAGACAGAGAGAGAGAAAAAGAGGAAGAAAAGAAGGAUAUGAAGUAUUUUAAAGAACCAGAGGAAAAAAUAAUGAUUCCACAUCAUAAAACAAAAUCUAGGGCAGUUCACAGGAAGGUUCUACGGAAAGCACCACAAUUGCUUCACUCAACUUACUAUUCAAACUCCAAGACACUACAGCCUUAAUGACUAACUGGGAAAUUAUGCCACCUAUACCUUGGCAAGGAGAGGACAGGCAUCUGACCUACAGUUGUACCAAGAAAUAAGAAAACUCACUGCUCUUAUUAGGUUUCUAGUGCAGAUAUGGAGUGUUAAUAUAUGAAUUUAACCUGUAAGAUGAAAUAAAUAAAUGAAGAGCAAGUUAUGCUACACAUAUAAAGGCCAAUGCAGAGCCAUGACAAAGUCACAAUCUAGCAGUUAGAGAAACUGAUAUGAUGAAAUUGACAAAUAUGGAUAG